AUUGAACGCUGGCGGCAGGCCUAACACAUGCAAGUCGAACGGUAACAGGAAGCAGCUUGCUGCUUCGCUGACGACUGACGGACGGGUAAGUAGUGUCUGGGCAGCUGCCUGCUGGGGGGGGAUAACUACUGGAAACGGUAGCUACUACCGCAUAAUGUCGCCAGACCGAAGGGGGGGGGCUUGUGGCCUCUGGCCAUGGGGGAUGCCCAGAUGGGAUUCGCGUGGUGGGGGGGUAACGGAUCACCAAGGCGACGAUCCCUAGCUGGUCUGAGAGGAUGACCAGCCACACUGGAACUGAGACACGGUACAGAGUGCUACGGGAGGGAGCAGGGGGGAAUAUUGAACCAGGGGCGCAAGCCUGAUGCAGCCAUGCCGAGUGUAGGAAGAAGGCCUUCGGGUUGUAAAGUACGUCCAGCGGGGAGGAAGGGAGUAAAGUUAAUACCGUUGCUCAUUGACGUUAACCGCAGAAGAAGCACCGGCUAACUCCGUG
rnacentral:rRNA from 1 species